rnacentral:rRNA from 1 species
GACGAACGCUGGCGGCGUGCUUAACACAUGCAAGUCGAACGGAAAGGCCAGUGCUUGCACUGGUACUCGAUUGGCGCACGCGUGAGUAAAACGUGGGUGUUCUGCCUCUCACACUGGGAUAAGCUUGGGAGACUGGGUCUCAUACAGGAGAUGAACUUCCUUUCGUGAUGUGGUUGGAAAGUAUUUUCGGUUUAAGAUGAGCUCUCGGCCUAUCAGCUUGUCAGUGGGUGAAUGGCCUACUAAGGCCUCGACUGGUAGCCGACAUGAGAGGGUGUACGGCCACAAUACGACUGAGAUACGGCGCAGUCGCCUACGUUACGCAGCAGUGGGGAAUAUUGCGGAAUGGGCGGAAGCCAGAGGCAGAGACGUUGCGUGGGUGAUGACGGCCUUCGGGUGGUAAACACAUGUCGACGGGGAUGUAGCGUAAGUGACGGUACCUGUAUAGGAAGCAACGGCUAACUACGUG